rnacentral:rRNA from 1 species
AGAGUUUGAUCCUGGCUCAGAACGAACGCUGGCGGCAGGCCUAACACAUGCAAGUCGAACGCUUCAGCAAUGAAGAGUGGCAGACGGGUGAGUAACGCGUGGGAACCUUCCCAGUGGUACGGAAUAGCCCAGGGAAACUUGGGGUAAUACCGCAUAAGCCCUUAGGGGGAAAGAUUUAUCGCCAUUGGAUGGGCCCGCGUCGGAUUAGCUUGUUGGUGAGGUAAAAGCUCACCAAGGCGACGAUCCGUAGCUGGUCUGAGAGGAUGAUCAGCCACACUGGGACUGAGACACGGCCCAGACUCCUACGGGAGGCAGCAGUGGGGAAUAUUGGACAAUGGGCGCAAGCCUGAUCCAGCCAUGCCGCGUGAGUGACGAAGGCCUUAGGGUUGUAAAGCUCUUUUGGCGGGGACGAUAAUGACGGUACCCGCAGAAUAAGCUCCGGCUAACUUCGUGCCAGCAGCCGCGGUAAUACGAAGGGAGCUAGCGUUGUUCGGAAUUACUGGGCGUAAAGCGCACGUAGGCGGACUUGUUAGUCAGGGGUGAAAUCCCGGGGCCCAACCUCGGAACUGCCUUUGAUACUGCAAGUCUGGAGUCCGGAAGAGGUGGGUGGAAUUCCUAGUGUAGAGGUGAAAUUCGUAGAUAUUAGGAACAACACCGGUGGCGAAGGCGGCCCACUGGUUCGGUACUGACCCUGAGGUG